rnacentral:piRNA from 1 species
GAUUGAACAAUGAGACCCCAGU